rnacentral:lncRNA from 1 species
UGAAGAUGUCUGUAGAUAAAUUCAGAAAAGUUUAAUAAUUUCAUUAGGAAACUAACGGAAAAGGGAAUUUUUUAAAAUUUAAUGUUGGAAGGUAUGGCUAAGGAAGAGAAGGAGGGAGACAGGGUAGGCUGUUUUCAUGGUGCCAGAUCUGAAAGCACAUUUUAAGUCUGAGACUGGGAGAGGGACAGGAAAGUUUCAUAAUACAUGCUGAAGCUAAUGAGUUAAUUAGGAACAACUGAGUUAUUUUUGUUAACCACUGCAAGCCUCAUAAUUUUUAAACUCUGAAGUACUAGCAACUGUUGGCUGGUAUCUGGAAGAGUACUUUGUACCUGAACAGAUAAGAGAACAUUACUUUUCCAAAGUCCAGUUUGUGAUACUGACCAAGCAAAACUGAACCCCCAAACAGUCUUAAUGGAGCCUAUAUGUCCAUAUGGUGUUCUGCUGCUUUUCCUCAUCAAGUGGUAAAUAAGCUUCAAGAUCCAAGUUCGUUCUGGGAAGCUUGCUGUAUUAAAAUCAAGUCAUAUUCCAGGCCAGACAGCACCUCCAUCAGCUGUUGAGGGGCUUCUUCUAAAGAAUGGCUGGUCUCUGAUCACUUCCUUCAGGAUCUGCUGCAAGUGUCUCUUCUCUGGAGCUGUCUUCACAACUUCUUCAAAAGGGAAUGUCCCACAUGGGGAUUUAGUUUCAUACUUGGUGUUGCCCAACACUGAAUCAGUGGGUAAUAAAGAAGUGGAUGACUUUCUUUUCCAAUCUGCAGAACACAAGUCUCUAAAAAAUACUACAUUUCUCUAUUUUUGUUUUAAUUUUGACAAACAUAUACACAUAGAUACCCUCCUGACUACGGCCUAAAAUUAAGGAGAUACAUAUAUCUGAAGGUUAUUAGGAUUAUACAUCAUGCAGCACAGGACACUAGUGCCACAUCCUUCACUUAAAUUACCAUAUGACCAAAUUUCAAUCUAAGAACACCCAUUUUCAAAUUUAUUUGCAUAACUUAAAUUAUUUUGGUGUAAUCAGACACUGAGAGUUUGCUGGAUAUACACCAAAUAAAGCCAACCUUUAUCCUAGUGCCA